CACUGGGAGCAUAUAAGCAUGGGAAUAUCUAAUAUUUAAGUUUCAGAUUUCGCCAUUAAAAUGUUUUGGUAGCUUCUCAUUAUAUCGAGGCUGUUCUACACAAAUGGAGGUGAUGCCAUUUUGGUGCAACUCCCAAGGUUCACCCUAAUUUAUGGAAACCAAGGAGUAGCUUAGGGCUGAUGAACAAUGACCUUCCCAGCACCAACCCUGAAGACUCUAUGUCCUGCUUUGAUUUGUCCAAGAAUGAUUCAUAUCUCAUAUCAGCAACAGGAGGGAUGAUCUCCAUUUUUGACAUGACAACAUUUAAGACGAUGAAGAAAGUCAUGCCACCGCCACCUGCGGCAACAUGUCUUGCUUUUCACUCCCGGGAUGACGUUAUGGACAAUUCCACCAAUAUUAUAUGUGUUGUCGCAUAAGGAACUUGUUGUGUCAAACUUUUCACAUGGGCACUCUACCAUCCUCGCCAAAACAAAACUGAGCAUGGCACAUCAUUGUGCAGUGGUGUUUUUGUAUGCCUUGCAAAUUCUCCUUUGCAUAGAGAAAACGAACCAUCAUUGUAACCAGCAGAGGGGAUGAAAGAUCAAGAGUCCUGAAAAUUCCAAGAAACAGAUCUCCUUGUAGAAAGGCCCUACUGCUGAAGCUGCAAAAUGCAUACAUCAUGUGAUUAACUUGCAUAUCAGAUGUAAAUAUCAAACAAUUUGGCAUGUAAGGCAAGGCAAAAAGUAAAUGAAAUCAGCAAAA